GACGAACGCUGGCGGCGUGCUUAACACAUGCAAGUCGAACGGAAAGGCCCUGCUUUUGUGGGGUGCUCGAGUGGCGAACGGGUGAGUAACACGUGAGUAACCUGCCCUUGACUUUGGGAUAAAUUCAGGAAACUGGGGCUAAUACCGGAUAGGAGCUCUUGCUGCAUGGUGGGGGUUGGAAAGUUUCGGCGGUUGGGGAUGGACUCGCGGCUUAUCAGCUUGUUGGUGGGGUAGUGGCUUACCAAGGCUUUGACGGGUAGCCCGCCUGAGAGGGUGACCGGCCACAUUGGGACUGAGAUACGGAGCAGACUGCUACGGGAGGCAGCAGUGGGGAAUAUUGCACAAUGGGCGGAAGCCUGAUGCAGCAACGCCGCGUGCGGGAUGACGGACUUCGGGUUGUAAACCGCUUUCUCCUGUGACGAAGCGUGAGUGACGGUAAUGGGUAAAGAAGCACCGGCUAACUACGUG
rnacentral:rRNA from 1 species